UACGAAGGGGGCUAGCGUUGCUCGGAAUCACUGGGCGUAAAGGGUGCGUAGGCGGGUCUUUAAGUCAGGGGUGAAAUCCUGGAGCUCAACUCCAGAACUGCCUUUGAUACUGAAGAUCUUGAGUUCGGGAGAGGUGAGUGGAACUGCGAGUGUAGAGGUGAAAUUCGUAGAUAUUCGCAAGAACACCAGUGGCGAAGGCGGGAUCUCUGGACAGUUCCUGACGCUGAGGCACGGAAGGCCAGGGAGC
rnacentral:rRNA from 1 species